rnacentral:other from 1 species
ACAGCCCUGCCGUGUACGUGAUGCCGCAGUGACCGGUUUUGCCCCAACACCUUUCUUUAAGGGGCCAAUCUCGUGGGCGGCGACGCGAUAGGCUUCGGCCAAGGCGGAACCGUCCGGGGCGGCCCCCACCUGCGUAUGCAGGAGCAAAACUGGGCAGCACACGGCACGGUGGGGUGUU